rnacentral:tRNA from 1 species
GGCAACAAGCGUAACGGCUGCGUUGCCGGUUUUUUGAUAACCGUAGGACGCCUUCGCCGGAGCAACCCGGCUGUUGAUC